GAUGAACGCUAGCUACAGGCUUAACACAUGCAAGUCGCGCGGCAGCAUGGGGGUUGCUUGCAACCCCUGAUGGCGACCGGCGCACGGGUGAGUAACGCGUAUCCAACCUGCCCUUCACCACGGGAUAACCCGGCGAAAGUCGGACUACUACCGUAUGUUUUCCAUUUACGGCUUCCGAUUUGUACGAAAGGCUUGGCUGUGAAAGGAUGGGGUUGCGUCCGAUUUGCUUGACGGCGGGGUAACGGCCCACCGUGGCUACGAUCGGUAGGGGUUCUGAGAGGAAGGUACCCGAGAAUGGAAAUGAGACACGGUCCAGAAUGCUACGGGAGGCAGCAGUGAGGAAUAGUGGUCAAUGGGGGUAAGCAUGAACAAGCCAAGUAGCGGGCAGGAUGACGGCGAUAUGGGUUGUAAACUGCUUUUAUGCGGGGACAAAGUGGCAAACGGGUGGGAUUUUGAAGGUACCGAAUGAAUAAGGACCGGCUAAUUACGUG
rnacentral:rRNA from 1 species